AUGAAGACAGCUCUGAUCCUGAGGCCCCUCACCCUCACCACUGUGAUGAGCCCCUGUGGAGGUGAAGACAUUGUGACUGACCAUGUGGGCACUUAUGGCACAAAUAUCUACCAGACAUAUGGCACCUUUGAUCAAUUUACAUAUGAAUUUGAUGGAAAUUAACUGUUCUACAUGAACCUGGAAAAAGGGAGACAGUGUGGAGGAUGCUUGAGUUUACUGAUUUUACCUGGUUUGAAUUACAGAAUGCCCUGAGAAGCACUGUUGUGGCAAAAAGAAACUUGGACAUCUUGAUUUUAAAAAUUCCAACUUAACACCUUGCAUUAUCUUCACUAUAGAAAUUCCUAAAGUGGCUGUGUUUCCCAAAUCUUGUGAUCCUGGGUGUUCCCAAUACCCUCAUCUGUCUAGUGGACAACAUUUUUCCUCCUGUGAAGAAUAUCAUUUGGUUUUACAAUGGACGCCUAGUUGCAGAAGGGAUUGCUAAGACAACCUUCUACCCCAAGAGUGACCACUGCUUCCUCAAGCUCAGUUACCUCACUUUUCUGUCCUCCACUGAGGAUUUCUACGACUGCAAGAUGGAGCACUGGGGCCUGAAAGAGCCCUCCUCAAACACUGGGAACCUGAGACUCCUGCUCCUCUGUCAGAGCUGAUAGAGGCUGCAAUCUGCACCCUUGGGUUGGCUGUUGGCCUUAUGGUCAUUGUUAUGGACACCAUCCUCAUCUGA